CUAAACUGAGGAAAGUCGACCGAUACUGAUCGGCUAGAGGGACGUAGAGGUAAGCGGAACUCUCGGAGUAGCGGUGAAAUGCGUAGAGACCGAGAGGUACCCCGAUGGUGAAGACGGCUUACUGGGCGUCUCCUGACGCUGAAGCGCUAAGGCCAGGGGAGCGAAGGGGAUUAGAUACCCCCGUAGUCCUGGCUUCAAACGAUGUGGGCUUGGUGUCGGCUCCCGAUAGAGAGUCGUCGCCGGAGCUAACGUGUUAAGCCCACCGCCUGGGGAUUACGUCCGCAAGGGUGAAACUCAAGGGAAUUGACGGGGGCCCACACAACCGGUGGAGCACGUGGUUUAAUUCGAUGAUAAGCGAAGAACCUUACCAGGGCUUGACCUAGCGGUAGUAGAACCCUGAAAGGGGAACGAACCGAAGCUUUGCUUCGGGAGCC
rnacentral:rRNA from 1 species